rnacentral:rRNA from 1 species
GAUAAGUGCUGAAAGCAUCUAAGCACGAAACUUGCCCCGAGAUGAGUUCUCCCUGAGACUUUAAGUCUCCUGAAGGAACGUUAAAGACGAUGACGUUGAUAGGCCGGGUGUGUAAGCGCAGCGAUGCGUUGAGCUAACCGGUACUAAUGAACCGUGAGGCUUAACCUU